UAGGGAAUCUUCCGCAAUGGACGCAAGUCUGACGGAGCAACGCCGCGUGAGUGAAGAAGGAUUUCGGUUCGUAAAACUCUGUUGUUAGAGAAGAACAGCGCAUAGAGUAACUGUUAUGCGUGUGACGGUAUCUAACCAGAAAGCCACGGCUAACUACGUGCCAGCAGCCGCGGUAAUACGUAGGUGACAAGCGUUGUCCGGAUUUAUUGGGCGUAAAGCGAGCGCAGGCGGUCAAUUAAGUCUGAUGUGAAAGCCCCCGGCUCAACCGGGGAGGGUCAUUGGAAACUGGUUGACUUGAGUGCAGAAGAGGAGAGUGGAAUUCCAUGUGUAGCGGUGAAAUGCGUAGAUAUAUGGAGGAACACCGGUGGCGAAAGCGGCUCUCUGGUCUGUAACUGACGCUGAGGCUCGAAAGCGUGGGGAGCGAACAGG
rnacentral:rRNA from 1 species